rnacentral:lncRNA from 1 species
UUUUCUUAUAAGUAUUUUUAGAAGUAGAUUAAAUUUUUUAGCCUUUUCUUAGCCCAAUUAUAUAGAAUUUUUAGCCCAAAUUGAAUUCUUGCAAGGGGCCCAAUUUUUAAGCCUAACAAGACCUAACGCAUUUCCCAUUCCUCUUAAACCCAUACACCCUAACCCAAAAGAUCUUCUUCUUCUACACCCUAGCUAAACCCUAAUUGGACAACCCUAAAAGACCCCUUAACCAAAAGCUGCCACACCAGCCCCUCCUCCACACCGCCGACCCCUGCUUCUUCUCCACCCAUUUUCCCUCACUCCAAACGUCCACCAACUCCACACGCCACUGCCCACCUCCAAACAACAACACACACACAUAGAACUAAUAGAGCAGUUGCCGCCAGUCACCAUUGAACGCUAGCUGAUCCGCCGCCCUACCCUCUGAUCUCUUCGACCUACCUCCAGCCUUCUUCUUCACCUUGACCAACUCUAAGACAACAACCAUCGCCGGACACCCUUCCAACACACAGCAAAUAGCUACCGGCAACAAUCAACCUAAGACUUCUCCAUCUCUAGCGCCGGUGACAAUCUUCAGUCCAAAAAUGAGAGAAACAGGAGGCUGAAAACAGUCAGAAAAGAAAAUCAAAGAAAAAUGGGGUUUUCGUUUUUAUUUUAACUUUCAUUCUCUGAUUUUCAAUUGAGUCUAGACUCAUUUUUGAAUUCAAACGUGAGAUACAUAAUGAAAAUUAAGGCGUUUCUUUUAGUGUUGGUUUCUGAAAUGGGUUGGAGUUGAAACGGGUGCUCAAUCAUUGGAGUUGUCGCCCGAGGUCCGGUCAGUCUGUCGCCAGUAGUAGUCCAAUAUGUUUGAUUCAAUUUUAUAUGGCAAACUGAGGUUUAUUUCUUCCUUCUGCUAUUUUGCUUAGUGUUUGCUUUUAUUGUGUUAUUAUUUUGUUGUUGCUCUAUUUUGCUGAAGGUUAUCUGUUUCACUGCUCUUUUUCGAUGACUUCUUGAUAUUUGAUGCUCCAUUUCUUUUUGUUAAUUGGUUAGCCUCUGUUCUAAUGAAUUUAAUGGUUAGAUAAGUUUAAUUGCUUAUUUUAUUAUUCAUUAAGAGAUAGAUAUUUAAGGUUUUGAGUAACAUUUUGGUGAUUCUAGAGUUAAAUUAAUUUAUUAAUUGAAUUGGGUGAUGACAUAGAUAGUAAAACAAGUAUGUGGCCAGGGGAUUGGAUUGGAACUUAAAAGUUAAUUGAAAUAUUUUAACUGCUCUUUUAAUUAAUUGAACUGUUAGGAGCAUGUUUAGGCCGGCCAUACUUAGGUAGGCAAACCUUAGGAUUUUUGUUAGUUUUGAGGCGAGAGGUGGUUCCUUUAGUUAAAUUUAUCCGGGGAAUGCCCUGAAGGAUUUGUAUAUAUUUUAUUCCGGAGAAUGCCCCGUAGUAUUCUGUAAUUGGAGACCGAAAGCGAACUCGUUGUACUUUUAUUCUUAUUUUAUAUUUGUUUUUAUCUUUCUUUUAUUAGGUGGGAACGAUCUCGAGCCUCUUGUGUGUUUAUUUUCAUUUUUCUGUGUUUAUAUUUACUUCAAUUUGAAUGUUUUAAAAGCCAACUAAAUCGAGUAUGAAACCGUACUAGUUAUGGGACUUGGGGAGUGCCUAACACCUUCUCCCCGAGUCAAAUGAACCCGCUUACCCAAAUCUUUGGUGCAGACUUAAUUUGGAGUCUAAAGUAUUUUAAAAGGAAUUUUUUUUUUUAAAUAAACGGUGACUUGGCACACCAAAACAAAUGUCAGGUGGUGACCCUGAGUUAUUUUCUUUUGAACAAAACUUUGUCACUUUCUAAUUAAAACCCCUUUUGAGCUUAAAAAAAUCUUUUUAUUAAUUUAAGAGGGUUAGUGAAGUUGGUUAAAAAAGGGGGUAUGACAGCCUACAACAACAGUUAUCAGUCCAUCAUUCAGAUGACACCGUAUGAGGCUCUGUAUGGUAGGCAGUGUCGGUCCCCAAUGGGUUGGUUUGAGCUGGGUGAGGCCAGAUUGUGUAUGAACUUGGUUCAAGAUGCCUUAGAAAAGGUUAAGGUGAUUCAGGAUAGAAUUCGCACAGCUCAGUCCAGACAGAAGAGUUAUGCAGACCAGAAGGUUCGUGAUGUGGCAUUCAUGGUUGGAGAAGGGGUCUUGCUCUAGGUUUUGCCUAUGAAGGGCGUUAUGAGGUUUGGAACGAAUGGCAAGUUGAGCCCAAGGUUUAUUGGUCCCUUUGAGGUGCUGCGGCGAGUUAGGGAGGUUGCUUAUGAGCUUACCUUACCUCCCAGCCUAGUAAGAGUUCAUCCGAUAUUUCAUGUUUUGAUGCUCCGGAUGUAUCACGGCGAUCCAUCCCAUGUGUUGGAUUUCAGCUCAGUCCAGUUGGACAAGGAUCUAUCUUAUAUUGAGGAGCCAUUAGCUAUUUUUGGACAGACAUGUUCGAAAGAUAAGGUCAAAGAACAUUGCUUUAGUGAAGGUUCAGUUGAGGGGUCAGCCGGUCGAGGAGGUGACUUGGGAUAUCGAGCAGGAUAUACGCAACCAUUAUCCUCAUCUUUUCACCACUUCAGGUAUGUUUCUAUGGCCGUCCGAGGAUGAAUGACUGUUUUAAGAGGGGGAGGAUGUAAUUAUCAGGCUGGUCGUUUUGAGAAUUAUAACCCCGAUCCCCUAUUAACUUCUUCCCCCAUAUUUAUUUUUGCUAUUGUGACUUGCCGGGAGGUUUCGUUUUGGUUUUUGGAGUGUUUUAGGACACUUAGUCCUUAAAUGAAGGUUUAAGUCUUAGAAUUUGGACCGUAGUCAGUACUGUGUGAAGACGACUUCGGAAUAGUGUUUUGAUUUGUCAAUUUUGUUAGCUCCAUUGGGUGAUUUUGGACUUAGGGGUGUGUCUAGAUUAUGUUUUGGAGGUCGUAGCUUAUUUAGGCUUGAAAUGGCGAAAGUCAAAUUUUUGGAUAAUCGAACCGGUAGUGGAAUUUUUUAUAUCGGGGUUGGAUUCCGAUUAUGGAAGUUGAAGUAGGUCCACAAUGUUGAAUAUAACUUGUGUGCAAAAUUUUGAGUCAUUUGGACGUGGUUUGAUAGGUUUCGACAUCGGUUUUAGAGAUUGGAAGUUUCAAGUUCUUUAAGUUUGAAUUUGGAGGGUGAUUUGUGAUUUUAGCGUUGUUUGAUGCGAUUUGAGGGCUCGACUAAGUGCUAUCAGAGUUCUGGUGUUUUCGCACCUGCGGUGGGGAGACCGUAUGUGCGGAAGAUCAAGCACAAAAGCGGAUUUGGAAGGCAUGUUCAAGGGUCGCAGGUGCAAGGAAGAAGUCGCAUCUGCGAUGCCCACAGAUGCAUUACAGGACCCGCAGAAGCGGAAGGAGACUGUAGAAGCGGACAUGGGUCCUCAGGUGCGCACACGCAGGUGCGAUCCUUUAAUCGCAGAAGCGGACGCUGGAUUUUUAAGUGAAAUCCGCACCUGUGAUAGAAAUUCCGCAGGUGCAGUGAAGCAGGUGCGAUGGAUGGUCCGCAGAUGCGGAAUAAUUGGGCAAAAAGGGCUAAGUGCGAGAGUUUGACUUCAUUCUCCAUUUUUGGAUCUAGAGAGCUCAGAUUAAGGCGAAAUUUCGAGAGAUUUUCUAAGGAAGUUUUGGGGUAAUGAUUCCUAACUCGUUUUGGUUGUAUUCCAUUCAUCUAUAGUUGAUUUCAUCAUUAAAUUAAGGAAUUGGGUGAGAAAUUUGGGUCAGAAGGGAGGAAGUUCUUCAAUUAAAUUUUUGAGUUUUUAUUGGGAUUUUGAUGUCGGAUUUGGAUAAUUUUGGUACGAGUGAACUCGUGAGUGAAUGAGGGUUUUUGAUAUGUGAGCACCGUGUAUCUGAGGUGACGAGUACGUACACGGGCUAGUUAUUGUAUAACCCGAUUUCUGCUAAGUAAUAACCAGUUUUCCUUCUUAUUUAAGUUAUAUCAGCAUGUGUUUUAUCCUGUUAGCUUAGAAUAGCAUGUCUACUUGUCUUAAUUGUUUAUCUGGAAUCUGUGCAACAUGUUUAGUGAAUCCCCUGUUUUUCCUUGAUUUGAACUUAGUCUAAACUGGAGGUUUUCUUGCUGCAGCUGUUAUUUUCGUUGUUUGAGCUUCAUAUUUACUUUGGGAUGACGGAACGGUAUUCCGGGAGAUCCCCUAUCUUGAAUUUACUUUGGGACUACGGAAUGGUAUUCCGAGAGAUCCCCUUGCACAUUU